rnacentral:rRNA from 1 species
UGGGGAAUUUUGGACAAUGGGGGCAACCCUGAUCCAGCAAUGCCGCGUGAGUGAAGAAGGCCUUCGGGUUGUAAAGCUCUUUUGUCAGGGAAGAAACGGUAGUAGCGAAUAACUAUUACUAAUGACGGUACCUGAAGAAUAAGCACCGGCUAACUACGUGCCAGCAGCCGCGGUAAUACGUAGGGUGCAAGCGUUAAUCGGAAUUACUGGGCGUAAAGCGUGCGCAGGCGGUUGUGUAAGUCAGAUGUGAAAUCCCCGGGCUCAACCUGGGAAUUGCAUUUGAGACUGCACGGCUAGAGUGUGUCAGAGGGGGGUAGAAUUCCACGUGUAGCAGUGAAAUGCGUAGAUAUGUGGAGGAUACCGAUGGCGAAGGCAGCCCCCUGGGAUAACACUGACGC